AAACAAGUUAGAUAUGGACAAGAUGUAAUUUCUUCUGUCAAGGAACUCAUGGGAUAACAGCCUCCCUUUUGAUGAGAAGAAUAAGCCUCAUUCUGAUUCAACAGCAGAGAUCAAAGAAAAGACUUCUGUUUGCUGGCCAUCAGAUACAUGUUAUCUGUGUUUAAAGAACUGAAAAACACACAUCAAAGGAACAUUCUCUUGGAAAGAGAGAAGUUUCAGAGGGAUGCUGGUGAUUUGGUGAGAAGGAAGCAAGUAUUUCUGUGAUUUAAUUUCAACGUAAGCAUUGAAGAGGCUACCCUUCACCCUUUUACUACUGUUGAUAACUCCAUGUUUCCAAGAGCUAAUGGGUUGAAGAACUUAGCACUUGUGAUGGAUUAGUCAAGCAAAAAUUAUGAAGUAA